rnacentral:rRNA from 1 species
CCAAGGCGAUGAUGCAUAGCCGAGUUGAGAGACUGAUCGGCCACAUUGGGACUGAGACACGGCCCAAACUCCUACGGGAGGCAGCAGUAGGGAGUCUUCCACAAUGGACGCAAGUCUGAUGGAGCAACGCCGCGUGAGUGAAGAAGGGUUUCGGCUCGUAAAGCUCUGUUGUCGGUGAAGAAGGACAGGGGUAGUAACUGACCUUUGUUUGACGGUAAUCAAUUAGAAAGUCACGGCUAACUACGUGCCAGCGCCGCGGUAAU